UAAAAUUCACUGCAUACAAAUUCUUUUAUAAAUCUUUAAGUUUGUUAGUCUGUGUUUUCUUAUUGCUUUUUUCUUAAUUUAGAUUAUCCACAUUUCCUUUAUGAAGUUUUUUUCAAUGACAUUGUAUGUAGUUGACUGAAUUGAACUGGAACAAUAAUUUUUUCCUACAAUGGCACGAUUUUCUCUUACCUCUUAACCUCUGUUGGACUUUUGCUCUGGGGGGAUAGAUGUGGACAGAAUAAUAGAGCCCCUUUGUUAAACUUUUGCGACUAUAUCCCUUAUAAACCACGGCUGUUUUUUCGCUGUAAUGUUUUUGCAAAGUAUGUUGUUUGGCCCUUUGCAACGUAGUACUGUAUCGCGAUUCGCAUAAAAUCAAAUCAAUUAACAGAAAUACAUCCUACACCCUAUCAGGGUUCACUAAAGACAGAUGAGCGAGGCUUAUCGUCCUGGGUUUUUCCUGUAGAAAUUUUUCCAAGAACUGGGAGCGAGAUGAAAAUUCAUUAGUGUUCAAAGGUUGCUGAACAAUAAAGGGCGUGAUUAAUAGCUUUGAUCGCCUCCGUAAGCUUUCAAAGGGCUUUCAAAAACGAUCUUGACCAAAUAUUACCAUUGGAAUUACAAUAACGAUAUUACAAUCGAGUUGAUACAACAAAGGAGACCCGUUGACGUGUAUCUGAGAAAACAAUGAUACAGUCUCACCAAGGAUUUCCCUUUCAAACCGAGGACUCUCAAGAUUUCAAGUGAGCACAAUGGCUAACAACGGGAAACAAAAACCGGACAAGUACCAGUAGUUCUGCAUAGUGUGACUGAGUAUCAAACAGAUGUCUGCAGUGCGUUUUCUCCGUGAAAUAUCAACUUCUAUAGAGAAGAAAUUCCACUGAAAGGCCUAUUUCAAUAAGGAAACACGCAGACGAGCAGUUUGUGAAAAAAGAGAUUAUCUCCUGGCCAUUGCAGUGAAUAGUGAUAAUGAGUGAAAUUAAUGCAUCCUUUUAACGGCAAUCAAGCAUAGAACGUUUUUGCUAGACAGGAACAACUGGACACGAUCGAACGAAGGGUGAAUCGAUGUGUGCAUAUCAGGCUAACCUGGACUGUUUUAUUCAAGAGGUAAUACAAGAUUAAUCUUGGUUUAUCAGUAAUGAAACGUAGAAGUGGCGAUGGAGGACAGCGACAUAGCGAACUUUCUUCUGCUAGGUAUAAUUGUCAUCUUUAUAGUUCUAAGUAUACUGGCACAUUGCCUAGUUGUGAACCGAGCUCGCCGUAAAAAAGAGCGUCAAGUUGAAGGAGAAAUUACAAGCCAAGAGAUAGUAUGACAUAUCGCAAAUGUAUUGGAGCUAUCAAAUUUGCCGUGAAGUUAAGGCAGUUUUCGUGUAUUUCAUGAAAAUAAAUUAACAUGCAUAGGUGGCAACUGAAUUUGAAUUUUCAGUGAACUGAGGUGGACUAAAGAUGGCAAGUUGAACUGAGGCUGGCUAAAGAUGGUAGACUGACAAAAAUUCUUAAUAUCCUGGUAUUUAGACUUAAAAACAACUAAUGGAAUCAUUCUGUUCAGUGACUUUUUAUAUUAUUUAAUGCAAAUGGUUUUCUUGUUAACUGGGUUGUCAUUUAAUUAAGUGUAUCGAGUAAUUAUGGCUAAAUGUUUUUGGAUUGUUACUUGUAGACGACAGCUUAAUAAAGUUUGCAAUACCAGAAAUAAAGAAGUCUGUAGGACUUUAUAUUUUCUCAGUGAGUUUCAAAAGUAAUGCAUAGCGUGUUCUGGUUUUGCAAAAUGGAAAAUUAACGACGUUUCUUAUUAUUACAUUAUUAUAUUUUUUAUACCAAUUUAUAGACUCCAAUUUCCUACUUUGUUCGUAUAUUAGAUUAAGAAAUACCUCUUACAGCAUUCGUGAAGGCAGUCAGGAUAAAAAAUCUAAGGGAGCCCGAGUUGCAAUUGACAUAUAUUGAUAUAAAUUUUGUUUUGUACAGUUGGAAAUUCGAUCGAGUGGACUGGCAGAACAAUAACCAUUGAUUUGCCGGCCCUUUCCCCUGAUCCUUUUUUAAUGUACGAUCAUAAAUAUCAUAAUGACAUUAUCAGGACUCUAAGUAAAAUCUUUCUCUCGUCCUUUUUUUCUUAUUCGGGAUUGUUAAUUUCAAGGUUAGUCUUAGAAAUUCUAGUUUCAGUAUGGAUUUAGAAUGUGUUUCGUGACAGCUCAGGAUUGCGAUUGUUUCGUCAAGAAAACGUUACAUUUUUUGUAAGUUUAACAACACUAAUAUUUUAGUAAAAUUAAUGUUUAUUGUAUAGUGUUGUGCACAAGAAUUGGGAUUAUCAGUUUAUGUAAAAUGGGUUUGUUAGAACUAACUUUUGUAUUAAAGCUUAUUAAGAUUAUUUCGAAUUUUAUCAAAUUACG